GAGCUCUUUUCAGCAGCAUAUAUGCUAAAAUUGGAAUGACAAAGAGAUUAUCAUCACAUCUGCACAAGGGAUGGCUCUCAAAUCCAUGAAGCAUUCCAUUCUUUU